rnacentral:rRNA from 1 species
GGGCCCGCACAAGCGGUGGAGCAUGUGGUUUAAUUCGAUGAUACGCGAGGAACCUUACCAGGGCUUAAAUGUAAGUUGCAUUAGUUAGAGAUAGCUAUUUCUUCGGACUACUUACAAGGUGCUGCAUGGUUGUCGUCAGCUCGUGCCGUGAGGUGUCAGGUUAAGUCCUAUAACGAGCGCAACCCCUGUUGUUAGUUGCCAUCGAGUCAUGUCGGGAACUCUAACAAGACUGCCGGUGCAAACCGUGAGGAAGGUGGGGAUGACGUCAAAUCAUCACGGCCCUUACGUCCUGGCUACACACGUGCUACAAUGGCCGGUACAGAGAGCAGCCACUACGCGAGUAGGCGCG